rnacentral:lncRNA from 1 species
GCCAGCGCAGGGGCUUCUGCUGAGGGCGCAGGCGGAGCUUGAGGAAACCGCAGAUAAGUUUUUUUCACUUUGAAAGAUAGAGAUUAAUACAACUACUUAAAAAAUAUAGUCAAUAGGUUACUAAGAUAUUGCUUAGCGUUAAGCUUUUAACGUAAUUUUAAUAGCUUAAGAUUUUAAGAGAAAAUAUGAAGACUUAGAAGAGUAGCAUGACGAAGGAAAAGAUAAAAGAUUUCUAAAACAUGACGGAGGUUGAGAUGAAGCUUCUUCAUGGAGUAAAAAAUGUAUUUAAAAGAAAAUUGAGAGAAAGGACUACAGAGCCCUGAAUUAAUACCAAUAGAAGGGCAAUGCUUUUAGAUUAAAAUGAAGGUGACUUAAACAGCUUAAAGUUUACUUUAAAAGUUGUAGGUGAUUAAAAUAAUUUGAAGGCGAUCUUUUAAAAAGAGAUUAAACCGAAGGUGAUUAAAAGACCUUGAAAUCCAUGACGCAGGGAGAAUUGCGUCAUUUAAAGCCUAGUUAACGCAUUUAAACGCAGACGAAAAUGGAAAGAUUAGUUGGGAGUGGUAGGAUGAAACGAUUUGGAGAAGAUAGAAGUUUGAAGUGGAAAACUGGAAGACAGAAGUACAGGAAGGCGGAGAAAAGAAUAGAGAAGAUAGGGAAAUUAGAAGAUAAAAACAUACUUUUAGAAGAAAAAAGAUAAAUUUAAACCUGAAAAGUAGGAAGCAGAAGAAAAAAGACAAGCUAGGAAACAAAAAACUAAGGGCAAAAUGUACAAACUUAGAAGAAAAUUGGAAGAUAGAAACAAGAUAGAAAAUGAAAAUAUUGUCAAGAGUUUCAGAUAGAAAAUGAAAAACAAGCUAAGACAAGUAUUGGAGAAGUAUAGAAGAUAGAAAAAUAUAAAGCCAAAAAUUGGAUAAAAUAGCACUGAAAAAGUGAGGAAAUUAUUGGUAACCAAUUUAUUUUAAAAGCCCAUCAAUUUAAUUUCUGGUGGUGCAGAAGUUAGAAGGUAAAGCUUGAGAAGAUGAGGGUGUUUACGUAGACCAGAACCAAUUUAGAAGAAUACUUGAAGCUAGAAGGGGAAGUUGGUUAAAAAUCACAUCAAAAAAGGACUGGUGUAAUUUAAAAAAAAACUAAGGCAGAAGGCUUUUGGAAGAGUUAGAAGAAUUUGGAAGGCCUUAAAUAUAGUAGCUUAGUUUGAAAAAUGUGAAGGACUUUCGUAACGGAAGUAAUUCAAGAUCAAGAGUAAUUACCAACUUAAUGUUUUUGCAUUGGACUUUGAGUUAAGAUUAUUUUUUAAAUCCUGAGGACUAGCAUUAAUUGACAGCUGACCCAGGUGCUACACAGAAGUGGAUUCAGUGAAUCUAGGAAGACAGCAGCAGACAGGAUUCCGGGAACCAGUGUUUGAUGAAGCUAGGACUGAGGAGCAAGCGAGCAAGCAGCAGUUCGUGGUGAAGAUAGGAAAAGAGUCCAGGAGCCAGUGCGAUUUGGUGAAGGAAGCUAGGAAGAAGGAAGGAGCGCUAACGAUUUGGUGGUGAAGCUAGGAAAAAGGAUUCCAGAAAGGAGCGAGUGCGAUUUGGUGAUGAAGCUAGCAGGCGGCUUGGCUUGGCAACCACACGGAGGAGGCGAGCAGGCGUUGUGCGUAGAUAGAGGAUCCUAGACCAGCAUGCCAGUGUGCCAAGGCCACAGGGAAAACGAGUGGUUGGUAAAAAUCCGUGAGGUCGGCAAUAUGUUGUUUUUCUGGAACUUAUGGUAACCUUUUAUUUAUUUUCUAAUAUAAUGGGGGAGUUUCGUACUGAGGUGUAAAGGGAUUUAUAUGGGGAACGUAGGCCGAUUUCCGGGUGUUGUAGGUUUCUCUUUUUCAGGCUUAUACUCAUGAAUCUUGUCUGAAGCUUUUGAGGGCAGACUGCCAAGUCCUGGAGAAAUAGUAGAUGGCAAGUUUGUGGGUUUUUUUUUUUUUUUUUUUUUUUUUUACGAAUUUGAGGAAAACCAAAUGAAUUUGAUAGCCAAAUUGAGACAAUUUCAGCAAAUCUGUAAGCAGUUUGUAUGUUUAGUUGGGGUAAAUGAAGUAUUUCAGUUUUGUGAAUAGAUGACCUGUUUUUACUUCCUCACCCUGAAUUCGUUUUGUAAAUGUAGAGUUUGGAUGUGUAACUGAGGCGGGGGGGAGUUUUCAGUAUUUUUUUUUUGUGGGGGUGGGGGCAAAAUAUGUUUUCAGUUCUUUUUCCCUUAGGUCUGUCUAGAAUCCUAAAGGCAAAUGACUCAAGGUGUAACAGAAAACAAGAAAAUCCAAUAUCAGGAUAAUCAGACCACCACAGGUUUACAGUUUAUAGAAACUAGAGCAGUUCUCACGUUGAGGUCUGUGGAAGAGAUGUCCAUUGGAGAAAUGGCUGGUAGUUACUCUUUUUUCCCCCCACCCCCUUAAUCAGACUUUAAAAGUGCUUAACCCCUUAAACUUGUUAUUUUUUACUUGAAGCAUUUUGGGAUGGUCUUAACAGGGAAGAGAGAGGGUGGGGGAGAAAAUGUUUUUUUCUAAGAUUUUCCACAGAUGCUAUAGUACUAUUGACAAACUGGGUUAGAGAAGGAGUGUACCGCUGUGCUGUUGGCACGAACACCUUCAGGGACUGGAGCUGCUUUUAUCCUUGGAAGAGUAUUUCCAGUUGAAGCUGAAAAGUACAGCACAGUGCAGCUUUGGUUCAUAUUCAGUCAUCUCAGGAGAACUUCAGAAGAGCUUGAGUAGGCCAAAUGUUGAAGUUAAGUUUUCCAAUAAUGUGACUUCUUAAAAGUUUUAUUAAAGGGGAGGGGCAAAUAUUGGCAAUUAGUUGGCAGUGGCCUGUUACGGUUGGGAUUGGUGGGGUGGGUUUAGGUAAUUGUUUAGUUUAUGAUUGCAGAUAAACUCAUGCCAGAGAACUUAAAGUCUUAGAAUGGAAAAAGUAAAGAAAUAUCAACUUCCAAGUUGGCAAGUAACUCCCAAUGAUUUAGUUUUUUUCCCCCCAGUUUGAAUUGGGAAGCUGGGGGAAGUUAAAUAUGAGCCACUGGGUGUACCAGUGCAUUAAUUUGGGCAAGGAAAGUGUCAUAAUUUGAUACUGUAUCUGUUUUCCUUCAAAGUAUAGAGCUUUUGGGGAAGGAAAGUAUUGAACUGGGGGUUGGUCUGGCCUACUGGGCUGACAUUAAUUACAAUUAUGGGAAAUGCAAAAGUUGUUUGGAUAUGGUAGUGUGUGGUUCUCUUUUGGAAUUUUUUUCAGGUGAUUUAAUAAUAAUUUAAAACUACUAUAGAAACUUCAGAGCAAAGGAAGUGGCUUAAUGAUCCUGAAGGGAUUUCUUCUGAUGGUAGCUUUUGUAUUAUCAAGUAAGAUUCUAUUUUCAGUUGUGUGUAAGCAAGUUUUUUUUUUAGCGUAGGAGAAAUACUUUUCCAUUGUUUAACUGCAAAACAAGAUGUUAAGGUAUGCUUCAAAAAUUUUGUAAAUUGUUUAUUUUAAAUUUAUCUGUUUGUAAAUUGUAACUGAUUAAGAAUUGUGAUAGUUCAGCUUGAAUGUCUCUUAGAGGGUGGGCUUUUGUUGAUGAGGGAGGGGAAACUUUUUUUUUUCUAUAGACUUUUUUCAGAUAACAUCUUCUGAGUCAUAACCAGCCUGGCAGUAUGAUGGCCUAGAUGCAGAGAAAACAGCUCCUUGACAGGUAUCUCUUCGUUAUCAGAAGAGUUGCUUCAUUUCAUCUGGGAGCAGAAAACAGCAGGCAGCUGUUAACAGAUAAGUUUAACUUGCAUCUGCAGUAUUGCAUGUUAGGGAUAAGUGCUUAUUUUUAAGAGGUGUGGAGUUCUUAAAUAUCAACCAUGGCACUUUCUCCUGACCCCUUCCCUAGGGGAUUUCAGGAUUGAGAAAUUUUUCCAUCGAGCCUCUUUAAAAUUGUAGGACUUGUUCCUGUGGGCUUCAAUGAUGGGAUAGUACACUUCACUCAGAGGCAUUUGCAUCUUUAAAUAAUUUCUUAAAAGCCUCUAAAGUGAUCAGUGCCUUGAUGCCAACUAAGGAAAUUUGUUUAGCAUUGAAUCUCUGAAGGCUCUAUGAAAGGAAUAGCAUGAUGUGCUGUUAGAAUCAGAUGUUAUUGCUAAAAUUUACAUGUUGUGUUGUGAUGUAAAUUGUGUAGAAAACCAUUAAAUCAUUCAAAAUAAUAAACUAUUUUUAUUAGAGAAUGUAUACUUUUAGAAAGCUGUCUCCUUAUUUAAAUACAAUACUGUUUGUCUGUAGUUUAGUGUUGGGGCAAUCUUGGGGGGGAUUCUUCUCUAAUCUUUCAGAAACUUUGUCUGCGAACACUCUUUAAUGGACCAGAUCAGGAUUUGAGCGGAAGAACGAAUGUAACUUUAAGGCAGGAAAGACAAAUUUUAUUCUUCAUAAAGUGAUGAGCAUAUAAUAAUUCCAGGCACAUGGCAAUAGAGGCCCUCUAAAUAAGGAAUAAAUAACCUCUUAGACAGGUGGGAGAUUAUGAUCAGAGUAAAAGAGGCAUUUCAUCCUUCAUGAAGCUGUUCAGGAUUUUGAAUUGCAUAUGAGUGCUUGGCUCUUCCUUCUGUUCUCCUAACUUCACAGAGAAUGCAGUUGUCUUGACUUCAGGUCUGUCUGUUCUGUUGGCAAGUAAAUGCAGUACUGUUCUGAUCCCGCUGCUAUUAGAAUGCAUUGUGAAACGACUGGAGUAUGAUUAAAAGUUGUGUUCCCCAAUGCUUGGAGUAGUGAUUGUUGAAGGAAAAAAUCCAGCUGAGUGAUAAAGGCUGAGUGUUGAGGAAAUUUCUGCAGUUUUAAGCAGUCGUAUUUGUGAUUGAAGCUGAGUACAUUUUGCUGGUGUAUUUUUAGGUAAAAUGCUUUUUGUUCAUUUCUGGUGCUGGGAGGGGACUGAAGCCUUUAGUCUUUUCCAGAUGCAACCUUAAAAUCAGUGACAAGAAACAAAUUCCAAACAAGCAACAGUCUUCAAGAAAUUAAACUGGCAAGUGGAAAUGUUUAAACAGUUCAGUGAUCUUUAGUGCAUUGUUUUUGUGUGGGUUUCUCUCUCCCCUCCCUUGGUCUUAAUUCUUACAUGCAGGAACACUCAGCAGACACACGUAUGCGAAGGGCCAGAGAAGCCAGACCCAGUAAGAAAAAAUAGCCUAUUUACUUUAAAUAAACCAAACAUUCCAUUUUAAAUGUGGGGAUUGGGAACCACUAGUUCUUUCAGAUGGUAUUCUUCAGACUAUAGAAGGAGCUUCCAGUUGAAUUCACCAGUGGACAAAAUGAGGAAAACAGGUGAACAAGCUUUUUCUGUAUUUACAUACAAAGUCAGAUCAGUUAUGGGACAAUAGUAUGA